UAGAUAUGAAACUGUAAAUUUGUCUUCUUCUUAUACACAAUCAAACAGUGCCUGUAAACUCUAUAGUACUUGACAUUAUCUUAAGGAUCAAAGACCUUUUUAGAUUUUUAAUAAUUUUAUGAAUUUGGAUUAAUAUAAGUUGUUAUAAAUGGUAUGAAAGAAGUUUUAGAAAACAAUGAUCAAUAUUACUACAUUUUCAUGGGAUGAAAUCAAUCUUAUCAAUAUAAUAUAUAAAGAACUCGUGCAAAACAGUACUCUGCUACUAAAGAAACUACCAGAUUUUGGAUUCCGGAGGUUUGGGAGAGAGAUGGGACAUAUAACUAAUUACCGGUACUUGGAGUGGAGAAGGAAUGGGCCAGCGGACUUCUUAUCGCAGAGAACAGGGAUCUAUACUUCUCGUGCGAUCUAGCGGUCAGAGUUUGCGAUACUGAGCACAAUCUUAAGCGCUCAGUUAACAAUACGUUGAGUUUCUGUUUACACUCACACUGGUGUCUUUUUUAUCAUCAGUACCUGCGACCUUGUCAGAUACGACUCUUUUGUUUGGGGUAGGCAACAGUUCAAACAUUUCUAACAGAAAGCGUAAAACUCCAAAAACUAAAAAAAAAAAUAAUAUUUCGUAACAUUUUUAACUAAUCUCUUUACUAAAAACAGUACUUUAAGAAGAUUAUAGUUCAAUUUAGUCCAAUUGUUCGGGCGCCAAAUGUAUAACGGUUAAAUUUGGUAGGUAUAGUUUUAUAGUACUAUAGAACCCCAAGACACUGGAUAGAACAGUAAAGAGGGAUAAAGUCUAGAGUUCAGAAGGUUAAGGUGAUUUCAAAGUUCGGCUUAGAUUCUAAUUAGUGAUGAAACAGAUGCCAAAGCAAAUACAGCACCAAGGAUAAACGGAUAAACAGGCGUUGAACAUCGCCGACUCGGGAAAAAGAUAUAAAGGAAGGGGUCAGCAGGAGGUUCAGACUGUGUUCACACCUAAAUGUUCCCUAAAAUGAUCACGGUUAGUUUGACUCGAGCUCGAAACUGAUGAACUCUGGUGCUAACGUACGCCAAGCAUCCUAGCGGCUACGAAAAGAAACGAUAAUUAAAUGAAAAGUCAAACUCCUUAUAACUAGCAAUAAAUAUCAUUCACUGAUUGCAUCGUUAGUGACUCGGUAAGUAGGGACAAACGCAAGUAUAGGAAAGAGAAAUCAAUAUAAAAUACGGUUAGUACUUACGUGCAUCUUAACGCGUGUAUCGUCAGGCGGAGACCGUAAGCCAGUCAGUCUUAUAUGUUGUAGUACCUAAGCCCACCACUGCAAGGCGCUACGUCGUUGAAGCGAUUCCCUGCGGUUUUACGCUGAAACUCCACGGUGGUCGUUUCCUGAUCGUGAGUUUAAACACUGGAAUCUUCUGCGAAGUAGUUUCCCACAAGUGGAGUUGUAGGUGACAAACAUAUUUAUAUCUGAACUACAAGUAUUUCCUUUUCAAAAUAAGAAUUAAAAAAUCCUUAUGUGGCCCCCGCAGAAAUCAAAUUUUACAAGUUAAUAAUCUAAAGUGACGAACUAGAGAAACGAAAGAUUAUUCAAUGGGCUGUUGUACAUGCAUUUAUGAUUCGGUCAGUAUUUGGAUACGUAUUUAAUAUUGAUUCGCACACUCUAAAUAAGACAUUAUAUCAUUGUCUAAAUUUAAAUACAAUCUAAGAAUUUCGCACUUGUAAUAAGUUCAGGGAUUAGUUGCAUAUAGUGCUCAAUGUUCCGUCAGGUCAAGUCUUUUAUCGCAUUUAUGUGACCUAAGAUUUGACCUUGCAUUGGUCUGAUUGGUAAUCGGCCAGUAUUCACAAAUAUAAAACAGCUUAUUGUGUGAAGUCUCGCUCAGUUUCUUUUUUUAAUUUGUGUUGUAUAAGUACAGUUAGUUAUGAUAUACAAUGAAGUGUUGUGUAACAGUGAUCGUGUAUUUGUCGAUGACAGGUGUUUCACGAGGAGAAAUUUUAAAUAGUUUUAGUACAACACGAAAUUUACUUCACACAUCGACGAUAUCAGCGAUGACAGCCAUACUUCCGGAUAAUGAAAAAGAAGCGUUGUCUGGAAGUACAGAUCCUAACAAUAACGUGCACAGCUCACAGUUUGAUGACGUUCAGCCACACGUUAACGAUUUGGAUUCAGAUCUUUUCCCAACACCAGCAACGCAUGAAAUGACAAGAAGGAGGAUUCAAAGACCGAGCUUCCCAACGAUCAUCCCACCUCCUGGAGUGAUACACCCGGGCAUGCCGACGACAACAUCAACCAACCCCUACGGUUACUCCAAUAAACUCCGUCCAGAUGAUCCGAAUAAGUUCGUCUCCGUUGAUUCAGUUCCAGGACAAGAGACUUCGACAACAAUUCGACAACCGUUUCAUGACUGGCAGCCACCUUCAACUCCUAACAAACAAGUGAAGUCUACUCAGCAGACAAGCCGUGGAGAUAAUGAAGCACUAGUCCUCCCUGACAGUGUAUCCUACGUUCCGGACGAAGAGCAGAGUAAGACUCCAGAAAGAGUUGAUCAUCUGGACUUUAGAUACCUUGUUACAUCUACGACCUCGAGUACCCCCGCCGACAAAGACUCAAUACUUUAUGUUGAUACUAGAUGGAUAAUUGACGGACCUGUGAAGUCCUGCGGUCCUGGAAUGCUUAUGACUGCGAAUAAAAGCUGCAGGAAAAUAGCGAGAAAGUGACGUCAUCAGACCAGGCCAACAUCCUGCUACAAGAUCCUGAUAGCGGCAAGGACACAGUUUAAACGUCAUUUAAUUUAUUUCAAAUAACAUGUUUAAAAUAUAGAGUACCUAUACUUGUGAAUAUAUAUUUGUUAAUAAAUGUUGUUUUGGUUGAAUCCCUCAUUCCUUAAAUUUCAAAGUUAGUCUCGCUAAAAAAUGCAAUUUUGAAAUGAAACAGCAGAAAGAGUUUGUGUAGCUGGAACAGACUAAGUAAAAUAUUUCAAAAUAUUCAUUGGAAAUAAUAAAGGAUGGUUGAGUCCUUUUUUAGUUUUGGUAAUUGGCUGAGCUUUAGCGAAGAGCCGGAAAAUGUCAAGAUACCUCGAGACUUGACAUUUUCCAGGAACCCUUCUUUCUGUUCUGUAACACGAUGAUGGUGCUUGUCACUCCAUAGUAUUUGGCUGAGCGUUAACGAUCAUCUUUACAUUUGUUAUAUUGGCAACCAUGUUUGCAACGAGAAUAUCACAAAAGUCCAUUUGGCUGAGCGUUAACGAUCAUCUUUACAUUUGUUAUAUUGGCAACCAUGUUUGCAACGAGAAUAUCACAAAAGUCCAAUGCACAAAUGUUCCUUAACUCAGAAUCAAAUCAUAAAGUGACAUUUACCAUCAUUGAAAUAAAGUUUCUUUCAAAAUUUCAAAUUUAUAGGUUAAUUUUUCUCGGGAUAUCGUACGGACAGCAAGACAUAACCUGGGAUUUCCCCAACCGCUCAAGUAAUAGGUUUCGCUAACGCUCAACCAAUAAAUUUGAAAUAGUUAUUUUGUCACACAAUAAAAAACAAAAACUGUUCAAAGAAAAAGUAAAUCAUUGGUACAAAACUUAUUAUUAGGUACUGUAGUGUAAUUAGUGUUGUGUGUCAUCAACUAUAGACUUGUUGAAAGGAGCCGAAAUAAAAGACGGAUUAGUUCGGUUAAUAAGGAAAUUCCACUCAAAUUGUGUAAACACCGAUAAGAUAACAUUCUAGGCUGACUACACGCUGAUAAUUGAGACAUGUGUCCUCUCAGCACGUACUCGUACUUGUCAAGCAAUUGGUAAUGUUUGUACAUGUACAGCACGUCUACUGUAGUACUGUAUGUAUGGUAUACUAGAUUGGCUCCAAGUUAUUGGCGCUAUAAACUAGGGGUUGAAACAUAAACUAUUAAAUUUUGAAUAAAAGAAAAUUUUAAUUAUUAAUGAUGAAAUAGAACUCUGGAAUUACAAUUUGAAGUCUUAACACAGUUUAAGCCACACCUUGUUGUGUAAGAUGGAGUGGUCAUAAUUAAUUAAUUAUAUACGUAUAUAUUUGCGCCACAUUUUGCAUGAAUAUUACAAUUUCUGUAUUUUUAUUCUGUAAUCAAAACUCUUCUUGGGGCACGAUAAAAUACCCAUUAGUGGUUAUUAUUACCUUCCAUUCUGAUAAUUUUUAAGAUAUUUAUUAACUAUGGAUGGUUUAAAAAAAUAAUAGAAAUUUGUACAAUUCUCAUCCGCGGAUAUUGGACGUUUUUCAAGGCAUAUCAAAUAUUUCUUAGAUAAAGCACGAUGUAUAAAGUAAAACCUAGUCAAAUCAAGCAAUUAAACAAGGUCAGGUGAUUAUUUUUUAGUGUGGUUGAAAAAUGACUUAGGCUACUAAGGCAUUGAAGGUGAGGUGAAUAAAGUCGAAUACUAUACUAAGUAGUUUUAGAACAUCGCCAUUAUUGCAAAUACAAAUUUUUAUCAACCUCACUUACUUCGUAUACAAGGAGUGCCAUAUGAGCAAAGACCACAUUAAACCAAACUGCAAUUUAAUUAUCGUUUUGGUUUUGAAUUAUACUUUGUUACAGCAUUGAUCCAUUAUAUAAUAUACAAUUUUUACAUUGAAAUUAUCGACUAACGUAUAUAGUUAACUAGUUGUUUUUACGAUUAUUUACGAAGCUUGUACUAAUUUCCACUUAUGAAGUGCUUGUGUUGUUUUAGUCCUCUCACAAAUAAAUAUAAAAUUAAUUAACUUGGCGGCCAAAAGAUUGUAAGAUUAAUUAAUAACGUGACGACACGGAGCUUAAUUCAUAAACAAAUUAUAUAUUUUUAUUAGAUAAACUGUGAAGUUAAAUGAAUGGAUCUGUUACGACUGUUGUCAUGAAUAUCUUAUGUGUCGAAAAAUUAAUAUUUUAUUAGCAAUGUUUCAACACAGAUGAUAACUGGAAAAGUUAGGUUGUAAUACGGAAUAAACGGCCUAGUUGUGGAUUUGUUCAGUGAUUUCCUAGAAGAAGCUGAUGUCUAGCUAGCAAUCACUUAGGUUAAACAAGGAAUUUUAAUCAAUUAUAAGUUAUAGUUAACUGUGUGAUUGAACCAACUGUAACAGGCAGUAUUUUGUACCCUUACCUAAAUGCCCUUAUGGGACCACAUGUAUUUUUGCAUUUAUUGUCUAAAUGCAAAACAAACAGUGUGUACUGGCAGUUUAAUGAAUUUUUCUAAAAUACAAAAACUUUUUAGAAAGUAGUUCCUUAAUUGUCCAUUUUCUACAGAGUCUUCCCCGGAAUCUCCAAAAACGAUGACAAUUCCCCCCCCCCUUCCCUUGAGGACGCGAGUGACUGAUUUCCAUUCCCAUUAAUCUAAAUUCUAUCUUUAUUACCAGGCAUACUAGCGCUGUUCCAGGAGGCCGGAGCUAUUUUGGUACGCGGUAGAUAUUUAUACGGAUGACUUGUUAUCAUCUCGGGUCUUAUCGCCAUAGCUAAGUUACACCACUCAUCUUGCGCUGUAGAUCGUCACUAGGACAGCCGCUUCUCCACAGAUACUGUUCGUGACACCUGCGAGAUACUACAUACACUCUACAGUUUCCAGAUUUAAGGAAGAAAAUGUCGCCCAACACAACUCUACGUGGAAGCCCAUGUUUUUAUAUGCUCCUGGCCCUCUCCAUGUUCUCGCUGGCACUCCACGGCGAAGGCUACAUUUUGAAGGUGGUCGGAUACCAGAACAGGACCCACUGGACCCAGAUCCUAGGGUCCCCGGCGGCUCCGAACAGCACACCCGACUACGUGAUAGGGCCUCAGAUCAUCGACGUGCCCGAAUACACGUACUAUCGUCCCGUGGUAUGUCCCGCGAAUCAGAGGGCAGACGAGUCAGGACGCUGUAGGAUAGUUUGGCCUUGAGGAUUGCAAUCGCAAAGUGUCAUUGUAAAAUGAUGGAAUCUCCCACCUUCCCCCCACCAGAAGUCAAGAUCUGAAGAUUGACAUCCGGUCCGCAGCAAGAGUGCCGCUUCUUUUUCUCACUUUUCUAUCUACCUUUGUACUUGUUUGUUCCUCACUGUUUUUGGAUUGUUGACUGGUGGAUAUGUCUCAGACAAGACUCGUGUGACUUAUUUUAAGUUAUUAACUUAUUUUAAAUAAAGACAUGAUGAAACUGU